UACAUAACAUUGUGGUGUUAUCAGCACACAGCACAUGAAGAACAGAGGCUCAUGAAAUGCUGUCCAGAGCUCUUGCAAGCUAAAGUUAAAACUGUACUGCUGCUAAAAAGGAAAUGGCUGUAUCAGGCCCAUGGCGAUGAACAACAUUCUUCCAGGAUGGACCUUUGGAUGUCAUGUUGCAAAGUGGUGCUGAAGAGAAGAGCAGUUCUUUCCGGAGCAGGGGAUACCUUCUCUGAAGACUAGCACAAUGUCUCUAUCAUAACAGGGUGAAGAGCAGAUGGUCAAGCAUUAGUUGAUUCAUUGAAGCCUCAAGAACUGUGGACAGAGUUCUGAUUUUCUGAAGUUGCCCAAUUUUAAGGACUUACAAAGGAUGUGAAAUAUUGGAAUGAAAUGGACAAUCAGCAGAUGAUUUCACCCAUUGGGAAAUAUCAAGGUUUUCUCUAAACAUUUCUUUUCUCAAAUUGCUGGAUCAAUAAAGAAAUUAAAUAAGUAUUGAAUAAUUAAGUCCAUUAUGAAAUGUUUUGGACUUUGUGCAAUGAACAG